AUUGAACGCUGGCGGCAGGCCUAACACAUGCAAGUCGAACGAGUGGCGGACGGGUGAGUAAUGUCUGGGAAACUGCCUGAUGGAGGGGGAUAACUACUGGAAACGGUAGCUAAUACCGCAUACCAUCGGAUGUGCCCAGAUGGGAUUAGCUCGUUGGUGGGGUAACGGCUCACCUGGGCGACGAUCCCUAGCUGGUCUGAGAGGAUGACAAGCCACACCGGAACUGAGACACGGUCCAGACUCCUACGGGAGGCAGCAGUGGGGAAUAUUGCACAAUGGGCGCAAGCCGGAUGCAGCCAUGCCGCGUGUAUGAAGAAGGCCUUCGGGUUGUAAAGUACUUUCAGCGGGGAGGCGUUACCCGCAGAAGAAGCACCGGCUAACUCCGUGCCAGCAGCCGCGGUAAUAC
rnacentral:rRNA from 1 species